GACAGAGGGUGCAAACGUUGCUCGGAAUUACUGGGCGUAAAGCGCGUGUAGGCGGGCUUGCAAGUCAGAUGUGAAAGCCCUGGGCUCAACCCAGGAACUGCAUUUGAAACUGCAAGUCUUGAGUGUCGGAGAGGAAAGCGGAAUUCCUGGUGUAGAGGUGAAAUUCGUAGAUAUCAGGAGGAACACCGGUGGCGAAGGCGGCUUUCUGGACGAUAACUGACGCUGAGACGCGAAAGCGUGGGGAGCAAACAGG
rnacentral:rRNA from 1 species